rnacentral:lncRNA from 1 species
CACUACAGAGAGAUACUGUACAUAUGAGAGGAUAACUCCUAAGGCCUCUGUGUGGGCCAGGGUACCGUGCAUACACUACUGCGACAAACCAGCCGUCCUGUGACUUUCUCGGAGGUUUCAUUUGCUGUGCUUCUUAAUAAUGCACUUCCUCAUCUUAAAAUCGGGAAUACUAGCAAUGGUCACACAAUCUUCAGGAAGUGACCACGUUGUUAUAAGGAUUUUGGAAAGCAUACCUCACAAGACUAAUAACUCAUACCUACACUAUAUUGUGUUCAAAAUGAAAAGUUUACAUUAAACAUUGGUCAAAACUGACCACCACUUUUUAAAGGGCCCACUCACUGAUUACAAAAUAACAAACACAUACUCUACAAUUUUUUUUAUUUACCAAAAAGUACACAGGUUAAAGUUGAUUUCAGAACAAGACCUGCUUGUUCUUCAGGAAUAAGGGGAGCAGGGGUGGUGUUCGAGGAGUCUGGUUGGUUCAUAGGUUUGGAAUGAACUUAAAGGCCGGUGUGGCGCACACCUUUAGUCACUGAACGGGGAGGAGGCACAGGCUGGCAAAAAAAAAAAAAAAAAAAAAAAAAAAGGAUUUAAGAGAAAGUUAGAAUGGGUUAAACUUUUUUUUUUCUUUUCUUUUUUUCGGAGCUGGGGAUCGAACCCAGGGCCUUGCGCUUGCUAGGCAAGCGCUCUACCUCUGAGCUAAAUCCCCAACCCUAGAAUGGGUUAAACUUUUAACGAAAAAAGAACAAUAAAAAACAAAGGGAAGUAGAAAGGGCAAAUCUGAGAAUCAGCAGGAUAGCAGACUUCCCCAGUCUACCAAGACUGAAUUAACCAAUAAAAACAAAGACUUCUCUGACAAAUCCCCUGUGAGUUCAACACUGAAGGAGAUGAAGUGCAUAGCCAAUGAGGUUAGAUGCAGAAGAUACUUGUAAAUGCUGUGAGCUUGGGGCUUGGGCUUUUGUUUUGAAUUCUGUGCACGAGUGUCUUGUCUGUAUCUGCAUGAAUACCUGGUACCACG